GAUGAACGCUGGCGGCGUGCCUAGUACAUGCAAGUCGAGCGAAUGGAUUAAGAGCUUGCUCUUAUGAAGUUAGCGGCGGACGGGUGAGUAACACGUGGGUAACCUGCCCAUAAGACUGGGAUAACUCCGGGAAACCGGGACUAAUACCGGAUAACAUUUUGAACCGCAUGGUUCGAAAUUGAACGGCGGCUUCGGCUGUCCCUUGUGGAUGGACCCGCGUCGCAUUAGCUAGUUGGUGAGGUAACGGCUCACCAAGGCAACGAUGCGUAGCCGACCUGAGAGUGUGAUCGGCCACACUGGAACUGAGACACGGCCCAGACUCCUACGGGAGGCAGCAGUAGGGAAUCUUCCGCAAUGGACGAAAGUCUGACGGAGCAACGCCGCGUGAGUGAUGAAGGCUUUCGGGUCGUAAAACUCUGUUGUUAGGGAAGAACAAGUGCUAGUUGAAUAAGCUGGCACCUUGACGGCACCUAACCAGAAAGCCACGGCUAACUACGUGCCAGCAGCCGCCGCCG
rnacentral:rRNA from 1 species